ACGCUCGACACCUACGGAGGCAGCAGUCGGGAAUAUUGCGCAAUGGAGGAAACUCUGACGCAGUGACGCCGCGUAUAGGAAGAAGGUUUUCGGAUUGUAAACUAUUGUCGUUAGGGAAGAGAAAGGACAGUACCUAAGGAGGAAGCUCCGGCUAACUACGUGCCAGNCGCGUAGUAUNGNGGCGNGNGAGAG
rnacentral:rRNA from 1 species